UACGAAGGGGGCUAGCGUUGCUCGGAAUCACUGGGCGUAAAGCGCACGUAGGCGGAUUGCUAAGUCAGGGGUGAAAUCCUGGAGCUUAACUCCAGAACUGCCUUUGAUACUGGCGACCUUGAGUCCGGGAGAGGUGAGUGGAACUGCGAGUGUAGAGGUGAAAUUCGUAGAUAUUCGCAAGAACACCAGUGGCGAAGGCGGCUCACUGGCCCGGUACUGACGCUGAGGUGCGAAAGCGUGGGGAGCAAACAGG
rnacentral:rRNA from 1 species